CCGAUAUGAAGUGCGACGACAUGAUGACGGAGUGUCCUGGGAAGACAGAAGUGAUGGAGGUAGGUUUCAUUACCACACAUCUAAGCCCCGUGGAAAGG
rnacentral:sRNA from 1 species